AUUACAUCAAGAGAGGUGGAGGGACAGGCCCUAUGAAACCCGGCAACCAGCAUGAAAGCGUAUGGUGCUAAGUCCUGCAAGGAAGAUAACUUGAGGGAUGUAGU
rnacentral:ncRNA from 2 species